rnacentral:piRNA from 1 species
UUAGAUUGAUGGGACACUUUC